rnacentral:rRNA from 1 species
GACGAACGCUGGCGGCGUGCCUAACACAUGCAAGUCGAACGGAGUGUUUAUUUAUAAACACCUAGUGGCGAACGGGUGAGUAACGCGUAGACAACCUACCCUCUAGAUGGGGACAACACCGCGAAAGUGGUGCUAAUACCGAAUGUUGUAAUGUGGUUGCAUAAUGAUAUUACUAAAGGUGGCCUCUAUAUAAAAGCUACCGCUAGAAGAGUGGUCUGCGUCUGAUUAGCUAGUUGGUGAGAUAACAGCUCACCAAGGCAAUGAUCAGUAGCCGGUCUGAGAGGAUGAGCGGCCACACUGGGACUGAGACACGGCCCAGACUCCUACGGGAGGCAGCAGUGGGGAAUCUUCCGCAAUGGACGAAAGUCUGACGGAGCAACGCCGCGUGAGUGAAGAAGGUUUUCGGAUCGUAAAGCUCUGUCUUCAAGGACGAAUGUAGAUAUUGUGAAUAAUGAUAUUUAAUGACGGUACUUGAGGAGGAAGCCACGGCUAACUACGUGCCAGCCGCCGCCGUAA